CUUCUGAUUUUCCCAGGUGAUAUCACACCAAAAGAGAAAAAAGGUACACGUGAUAUAUGUAAAAUUCAAUUUAUGUAUGCUAAUGAUGAACUAAGUCGGUACUUUUGGUAUGAUUUAAACAUUAAGGUAUUGCAGGUAUCUUUUCUUUUCUAAGCUCAGCAAAGGAUUUAUCCUAUGCAGCAAAGCUCUGGAUUGAAAGUACUGUAUGAAGAGUUUGAAGCUCCUACAUAAGAACUUAUAAGGUACAAGAAGAUCUGAAUAAAGAGUUAAAGUGAACAAAACACAUUACUAAACCUUAUAGCUUUUUUCUUUUUUGACAAUUAGCAUCUACAAAGGUGUCUAGAUUUCCAACAUGGCUCCAUUUACAUAUGAGAAUUUUAUUAGCUUGAAAAAGAAUAUGAAAAAUUCUACAGCUGAUAUUUACAAAACUACUACACAAUUUUGGAAAUACUUGAAAAGUCUAAGAGUAACAUAAUUCAAGUGGGGAAAGUUAAAUAUGUUUUAAAAUCUGGAAACACAAACUUUUUCUUAUAUACAGCCAAAUGGCACAAUUCCUCCCUAGUCUCUAUUCCCAUGUGUGGCUUUUUCUGGAGCAUUCAUUUUUAGUUUAAAGAAAAAGAUUUAUUUGAAAUUAUUACUUAAAACCAAGGAGUGGAGUGUGUGUGAGAUGUUUCACAUUUGCAAUCCCAACACUUGGGCUCCUGAGAAAGGAUUUUACAUUUAAAAUCAGCCUGGAUAAUUUACCAAGAUCCUGUCUGAAAAACAAAAAAACAUCAAACAAACUAAGUGAUAAUAGGUUGGACAUGGUGGCACACACCUGUCAGCUACUCAGAAAGUUCAAGCAGGAGGGUCCCAAGUGUGAGGGCCUCUGGGCAAUUCAGCAGGACCUUGUCUCAAAAUAAAAAGAGCGGAGGCUGUAGCUCACUGAUCCAGUGCUUCCUUGACAUGCGGCAGGCCUUGGGGUCAAUCCCCAGUACAGACAGAAAACACUGAUAAAGGCUUGCUUUUAAUAACUGAUGGAUACUAGACAGAUGUAAGCUGAAGAGCUUUCAUUCUGCCUAAACUUCACUGGCACCCUCACCAGAAUUUAUUCUUGUUCAAAGAUAAUCACAUAUGAAAUAACUGCAGUCUUACACAAUUACCUCAGGUCUGUGCCACUACAAAAGUGUAAAGACCAAGGUGUCAGUGUCAGUGUUCCGGCACCAUCUGAAGAAAGGCACUGAGAAUGAGGGCAGGGUAUUUUUAACCAGCAGGCCUGUAAACCUACACCUGGUGUAUAUAAAGCUCUGGCCGUGCCGGAGUUCAUCUGUUGCAGAUGCUCCAAGAGAAGAGUUGCUGGAAAAAACACAUCAGGUGUAGAAGAUGUGUUCAAAAAUAGAAGAGGGCUACCCUUGAACUAUGAACUCUCUUCAAGGAAGUCUAGACUCUAAAUGGAGAAUGGAAGUGUGAAAACCAGAAAUACUUUGUGUGCUUUCAGUAGCAUUAAGGUCCUUAUGAUAACAGUGUUCGUUACAAGGAAUGUGCAGAAGAAGGAUACACAUGGAGCUUAAGAUAGCAAGGAAGCUUGGGAAUGCAGCGGAGUGGGACAGCCUGUGCUCGGUGCAUAUAAGAUUCUGGAUUUAAUUCCCAACACCACGAAAUAAAUUAAAAAAAUAAAUCUAAUAUGCUAUUUAAGCCCCUGACUACAACAGUGGUACAUGCCUGUAGUCCCAGCAGGACGACUAAGAGUGAGCCCAGCCUGGGUUAUAAAAAAACCUCCACAAUUUCGAAAAUAUUAAUAAACUCAACAUAAGCCAGUCAGCAUGGAGGACUUGGUGUGGUAUGUCUACAGUCCCAGCUACUCAGGAGGCUGAGGCUGGAAGAUUGCUUAGCCUAGGAGACUGAGGCCAGCCUCAGCAAUACUUGAAAUACAGAUAAAUGAAUGCAAUGUCGUAAACCAAAGUGUUUAUUUUUUGUGUUGUUGGGGAUCAAACCCAAGGCACCUGCUAGGCAAGCACUCUAUCA